rnacentral:rRNA from 1 species
UACAGAGGGUGCAAACGUUGCUCGGAAUCAUUGGGCGUAAAGGGCGCGUAGGCGGCCACCGCAAGUCAAUUGUGAAAUCUCCGGGCUUAACUCGGAAAGGUCAACUGAUACUGCGGGGCUAGAGUGCGGAAGGGGCAACUGGAAUUCUCGGUGUAGCGGUGAAAUGCGUAGAUAUCGAGAGGAACACCUGCGGCGAAGGCGGGUUGCUGGGCCGACACUGACGCUGAGGCGCGAAAGCCAGGGGAGCGAACGGG